rnacentral:tRNA from 1 species
GGGCCCGUAGCUCAGCUUGGUUAGAGCGCUGGUCUUAUAAGCCAGAGGUCCUGGGUUCAAAUAUGUUCGAGGGGAUUCAACUCCCUUCGGUCGUUGAAAGUCCCAGCGGGCCCA